rnacentral:tRNA from 1 species
ACCUGGCUGGCUCAGUUGGUGGGACAUGUGACUCUUGAUCUCAGGGUUGUGAGUUCGAGCCUCAUGUUGGGCA